rnacentral:rRNA from 1 species
GUCCUCUUGAUGAUAUUUUGAGGUCUGGCCUGCUCACUGACAAGGUUUUGAAGAGCCGCGGUAUUUUGACCGUGCAAAGGUAGCAUAAUCAUUAGUCUCUUAAUUAGGGGCUGGAAUGAAUGGCUUGACGAGAAAUCAACUGUCUCUUAAUAAUUUUUAAAAUUUAACUUUUGAGUUAAAAGGCUUAAAUUUUUCUUUAGGACGAGAAGACCCUAUAGAGCUUAACAUUUUAUUUUUAUAUAGUUUUUAGUUGAUCUUUCUAUAUUUAAUGAUAAUGUUUUGUUGGGGUGACAUGAAGAAUAAUUAAACUCUUCAUUAUAAAAUCAUUGAUUUAUGUUUAUCAUGAUCCAUAAUUUAUGAUCAUAAGAUUAAGUUACCUUAGGGAUAACAGCGUAAUUGUUUUCGAGAGCUCAUAUCGACAAAGCAGAUUGCGACCUCGAUGUUGGAUUAAGAAAAAUUUUGGGUGCAGGAGCCCAAUAAUUAGGUCUGUUCGACCUUUAAAUUCUUACA